rnacentral:rRNA from 1 species
AUGAACGCUAGCGACAGGCUUAACACAUGCAAGUCGAGGGGUAACAGGGUAGCAAUACCGCUGACGACCGGCGCACGGGUGAGUAACGCGUAUGCAACCUGCCUAAUAACUGGGGGAAUAGCUCCCUGAAAAGGGGGAAUUAACACCGCAUAACACUAUUGAUUCGCAUGGAUUAGUAGUUAAAUGUAGCGAUACAGGUUAUAGAUGGGCAUGCGUGACAUUAGCUAGUUGGUGAGGUAACGGCUCACCAAGGCUACGAUGUCUAGGGGUUCUGAGAGGAAGGUCCCCCCACACUGGUACUGAGACACGGACCAGACUCCUACGGGAGGCAGCAGUGAGGAAUAUUGGUCAAUGGGCGCAAGCCUGAACCAGCCAUGUCGCGUGCAGGAAGAACCUGCCCUAUGGGUUGUAAACUGCUUUUAUAGUAGAAGAAACACAUCUACGCGUAGAUGUCUGCCAGUAUACUAUGAAUAAGCAUCGGCUAACUCCGUGCCAGCCGCCGC